rnacentral:rRNA from 1 species
UACGUAGGGGGCAAGCGUUGUCCGGAUUUAUUGGGCGUAAAGAGCGUGUAGGCGGCCAGGUAGGUCUGCUGUGAAAACUCGAGGCUUAACCUCGAGCUGUCGGCGGAAACCAUCUGGCUAGAGUCCGGAAGAGGAGAAUGGAAUUCCCGGUGUAGCGGUGAAAUGCGUAGAGAUCAGGAAGAACACCCGUGGCGCAAGCGACCACCUGGCCGAGACCUGACGCUGAGGCACGAGAGCGUGGGGAGCGAACCGG